UCUCUUUCUGUCUCUCUCUCUCUCUCUCUUUCUGUCUCUCUCUCUCUUUGCACAGGUUUGAUCAAACUGUCAGUGAAAUGAAACAUCUUUAUUUGUAGAACCCCUCAGUGCUCCCAUACUUCCUGGCUGCAGUUCCGCUCCGAGCCGCUAGAUGGCGCCACACAAACAGCGUCUGAAUCUUGCAGCAUUUUACCGUUGGAGUCAACAACAGCGAUGUCCGGCCUCCUGUGGACCCCACAGAUGAUUGACGGGAGAUUGAUAUCUGAGUCUGGAGCCAGCCCCCUCCUCCUCACAGACCACUCCCGGGGAAGCGCUGCUGAUCCGCCUCGGACGCACGGUGUUCUCUCUCUCCCCUCCUCUCUCUCUCUCUC